rnacentral:lncRNA from 1 species
CUGAGGAAAGUAAAACGAGUAGAGAGAGAGAGAGAGAGAGAGCAGUAGGUGGACUCGUAGUAGAUGGUCGAUGGCGAAGGAGAACUGCAGCCAGCAGCUGCCAGGACACGUACAACGACGCGUCGGAGACGCUGACGCUGAUGGAGUCAGGAGCCAAAAACGAUGGAGGACACACAACGUCCUCCUCCUUCUCUCCUUCUGUCCUUCCUCCCGCGUCCACCCACUCCUAGCCAGAGUUUUUACUUCCUUUUCAGCCGUGCCUUGCCCUGCCGUGCCUUGCCUUGUGUGUGUUGUUUUUUGCGCCAACCUCGUCGUAAAAACAAACUGAACUGAAAAGCAGCCCAAGGAAGCAGCAACCGAAAAGAGCCCCAAAAUGCAGCUGCAGCGAGGAACAGCCCGACACAUCUCCGGGGAAAAUGAAACCGGGCGGAGGUGUGGCAUCGAGUAGGUGGAGUAGGGCGGCAGCAGGCCCAAGGAGCUCGAGCAAAAGGCCAAGGAAACGAGCAAAUCAAGUGGCAGCAGCAAUGGGCAGACUCGACGAAUGCCCUGGAAAGAUGAAUGGAAUGUUGGCAAUGAAGAGAAUGCCACAGGAAUCAUGGAAGUGAAGAGCGACACAAAUGGAAAUAAUUUGAAAAGAUUCAACUUCCAAGUGAAAGUAAGAACAAAAAUAAAUAGG